rnacentral:rRNA from 1 species
GACGAACGCUGGCGGCGUGCUUACACAUGCAAGUCGAACGGAAAGGCCCUGCUUUUGUGGGGUGCUCGAGUGGCGAACGGGUGAGUAACACGUGAGUAACCUGCCCUUGACUUUGGGAUAACUUCAGGAAACUGGGGCUAAUACCGGAUAGGAGCUCCUGCUGCAUGGUGGGGGUUGGAAAGUUUCGGCGGUUGGGGAUGGACUCGCGGCUUAUCAGCUUGUUGGUGGGGUAGUGGCUUACCAAGGCUUUGACGGGUAGCCGGCCUGAGAGGGUGACCGGCCACAUUGGGACUGAGAUACGGCCCAGACUCCUACGGGAGGCAGCAGUGGGGAAUAUUGCACAAUGGGCGGAAGCCUGAUGCAGCAACGCCGCGUGCGGGAUGACGGCCUUCGGGUUGUAAACCGCUUUCGCCUGUGACGAAGCGUGAGUGACGGUAAUGGGUAAAGAAGCACCGGCUAACUACGUGCCAGCAGCCGCGGUGAUACGUAGGGUGCGAGCGUUGUCCGGAUUUAUUGGGCGUAAAGGGCUCGUAGGUGGUUGAUCGCGUCGGAAGUGUAAUCUUGGGGCUUAACCCUGAGCGUGCUUUCGAUACGGGUUGACUUGAGGAAGGUAGGGGAGAAUGGAAUUCCUGGUGGAGCGGUGGAAUGCGCAGAUAUCAGGAGGAACACCAGUGGCGAAGGCGGUUCUCUGGGCCUUUCCUGACGCUGAGGAGCGAAAGCGUGGGGAGCGAACAGGCUUAGAUACCCUGGUAGUCCACGCUGUAAACGGUGGGUACUAGGUGUGGGGUCCAUUCCACGGGUUCCGUGCCGUAGCUAACGCUUUAAGUACCCCGCCUGGGGAGUACGGCCGCAAGGCUAAAACUCAAAGGAAUUGACGGGGCCCCGCACAAGCGGCGGAGCAUGCGGAUUAAUUCGAUGCAACGCGUAGAACCUUACCUGGGUUUGACAUGGAUCGGGAGCGCUCAGAGAUGGGUGUGCCUCUUUUGGGGUCGGUUCACAGGUGGUGCAUGGCUGUCGUCAGCUCGUGUCGUGAGAUGUUGGGUUAAGUCCCGCAACGAGCGCAACCCUUGUUCACUGUUGCCAGCACGUUAUGGUGGGGACUCAGUGGAGACCGCCGGGGUCAACUCGGAGGAAGGUGGGGAUGACGUCAAGUCAUCAUGCCCCUUAUGUCCAGGGCUUCACGCAUGCUACAAUGGCUGGUACAGAGAGUGGCGAGCCUGUGAGGGUGAGCGAAUCUCGGAAAGCCGGUCUCAGUUCGGAUUGGGGUCUGCAACUCGACCUCAUGAAGUCGGAGUCGCUAGUAAUCGCAGAUCAGCAACGCUGCGGUGAAUACGUUCCCGGGGCU